rnacentral:rRNA from 1 species
AGAGUUUGAUGGUGGCUCAGGACGAACGCUGGCGGCGCGCCUAACACAUGCAAGUCGAACGAGCGAGAGAGAGCUUGCUUUCUCGAGCGAGUGGCGAACGGGUGAGUAACGCGUGAGGAACCUGCCUCAAAGAGGGGGACAACAGUUGGAAACGACUGCUAAUACCGCAUAAGCCCACGGGUCGGCAUCGACCAGAGGGAAAAGGAGCAAUCCGCUUUGAGAUGGCCUCGCGUCCGAUUAGCUAGUUGGUGAGGUAAUGGCCCACCAAGGCGACGAUCGGUAGCCGGACUGAGAGGUUGAACGGCCACAUUGGGACUGAGACACGGCCCAGACUCCUACGGGAGGCAGCAGUGGGGAAUAUUGCACAAUGGGGGAAACCCUGAUGCAGCGACGCCGCGUGGAGGAAGAAGGUCUUCGGAUUGUAAACUCCUGUUGUUGAGGAAGAUAAUGACGGUACUCAACAAGGAAGUGACGGCUAACUACGUGCCAGCAGCCGCGGUAAAACGUAGGUCACAAGCGUUGUCCGGAAUUACUGGGUGUAAAGGGAGCGCAGGCGGGAAGACAAGUUGGAAGUGAAAUCUAUGGGCUCAACCCAUAAACUGCUUUCAAAACUGUUUUUCUUGAGUAGUGCAGAGGUAGGCGGAAUUCCCGGUGUAGCGGUGGAAUGCGUAGAUAUCGGGAGGAACACCAGUGGCGAAGGCGGCCUACUGGGCACCAACUGACGCUGAGGCUCGAAAGUGUGGGUAGCAAACAGGAUUAGAUACCCUGGUAGUCCACACCGUAAACGAUGAUUACUAGGUGUUGGAGGAUUGACCCCUUCAGUGCCGCAGUAACACAAUAAGUA